rnacentral:lncRNA from 1 species
GGAUGAAGGCAAGGUAUAGAUGGAUGAAGGCUAAAAAUAAAGAUCUUAAUCCCUAUUGGUCGAAGGCCAUGACCAAUGGGCAUUCAGCAAGCUAUCUGCUACCAUAACAAAGGUUUUAGUAACUUCAAAAGAAGCAUUUGAGAACCAAAAGUAAGGGUUUUAAGGUUUAGAAUUUGGACUACAAUUUUUGUGAAAAUUUUAGAGGAUUUGGAGUCAAGAUGAUGAAAUUAUAGCCGUUUGAAGUUAAGGUAUUCUUUAAAGAUAUACUAUUGUUGUUUUGAGGAUAUGAGGAGUUUUGUGAUAGAAUUUAGAGAUCAAAAGAUGCAAUCGUAAGGAUGAUUUUAAGAUCUACAUCUUUUGCAAAAAAAAUUAUAUAUUUAGAAUUUGUAUGAAGAAAUUAUAGAGCAUUGAAGAUUGUACAUAUAAUUUAGAGGCAAUAAAUGAUUCGUUUUGUUGAUAGUAAUGUUUGGAGCUAUAGCUUGAGUUUGCGGAUGAAUUUUUGGCUAAUUUUUUUUGAAAGUAUGUGUUAUUAAGUUAAAAAGAUAUACAUCAAAUAUUUAAUGGUAUUUUAUUACUUAUUUUGUGAAAUAUAAAGAAGUUUGUACAUAGAUAUAUGUAAGCAAGGAUUUGAAGCUAAUAUUAGGAUUUUGGCAAUAUCUCAAGAUCCAUAACAAAUUUGUAGUUGAAAUUUGUUGUUGUAGUUUU